UGCCUGACUGAACAGUCCUGGCAAUCUUCACUAACUCUGGGUCCUCAUGCUGUUUCUGAGCCACUUGCUCCAGAAACACAGGUGUCACUUUCAUCUGAGCAACCAAGGCACCUGUACCAGACAACUCCAACUGUAGACCUUCCUCAAUGAGCUUGUAAAACUCCUUCACCACUGGUCUCCUCUCUGCCGUGAUGUGGGAUAGACUGCCUAGUGACUUCCGGCUUAGGGCGUCUGCCACGACAUUCGCCUUACCCGGAUGAUACUGAAUCUUGCAAUCAUAGUCACUCAGCA
rnacentral:lncRNA from 1 species